GUGACUUAAGCCUAUCCUCAGGAGCGGGACUCGGCAGGUGUGAAAAAGAGCAUGGCCCGGGACACUGCGCAUGUGCCGCCUCAGGUCGCUGCGCGCUGAGCUUCAGUUCGCAGUCUUGGGCGAGCGCGUCUGCUGAGGGGAGCUGACUCCUUUCAUCUUAGCUGCAGAAAUCACCCAAGGUGCUGCAGCUUCUCUCUGGCUUGCUUUGAGCCGCCUGCGGGCGAUACCCGGUUAACUGAUGAGUGCUCUGCUCAUCUUAUCGCUUCCAUCUCUUGGCGCGCCUCCAUCAUGCCUAGCCCGUCUGACUGCUAGAUGAAUUCACAAAUCACUGUUGCCAGCAAGCUUUCUUUUUGCAGGCCGUCUUCCUAACGGGCUCCUGAGCUCUGUGGGCUGAGGAGAGGCUCCGCCAGGCUUUCUAGAGUCACAGUUGAGACCCUGUCCUCUCUGAUGACUCCAGCUUGUGUCAAGUUGACAUAGACCAGUCAGGACAACAGACAUGUACUGUCGCCUCUGCGUUUGACCUGGUGUGUCCUGACUACUCUUGGAAGGCUUUGGUAAGCCUGACAGAUGUCCAAUUUCCACCAACCCUGCGCCUGAAAAUGACCUAAAGGUAGCACCUGAGCCGGGAGGCACAGACCUGCAAUCCUUUCUCAAGAGGCUGAAGCAGGAGGGCCCCAAGUUCAAGCCCAGCCUAGAAAACUUAGUAUUUUGUUACAGCAGCAAGAAUGACAGCUAACAGAGCAAUGGGUUCUCUCCUAGUGUCUACAGCACAGUUCAUCAGAAUGACAGCUAACAGAGCAAUGGGUCCUCCCCAGUGUCUACAGUACAGUUCAUCAGAAUGACAGCUAACAGAGCAAUGGGUCCUCCCCAGUGUCUACAGCCAGUCUGUGUUCAAGCCCUGGCAUCCACAUCUAAAGCCUGUGCAACUGUUAUCUCAACACCCCUAAAAUUGAACUUCAUGUGAAUGAAGAGAGAGAGAGAGAGAGAGAGAGAGAGAGAGAGAGAGAGAGAGAGAACAGGAAGAAGGGAAGGCAGAUGCUAGGGGGAUAAUGCAUCGCUCCCACAGACACACCCAAGGACUUGCUUCCUUUUUAAUGUAUGCAUGCAUACCCUAUGCAGCACGAGGUAACUCUAUUCCUUACCCAGCCUGAACUGGCUUCAGGCUGUGGCUCCUCUCUCCUGUACACCAGGAAUGGAUUGGCUGAUUCUGGCAUGAAAGGAGGGUCCACUCAACAGAAGGAGCAAGUCCAAAAUUCAAGCUCCCAAGGAUGGAACUGGACUUGACCAAGAUUCUUAACUGCCACCAAGCAAAGGAAGUUGAGGCCCCAGGAGGAAGCAGACCAAGAAUGAAGGAUCACAGGCUCCAGGUCGAAGUUCAUAUCCUGACCUUGAUACCCAUAAAUCACGACCUUGGGCAGGCACUCGGAUCCUUUCUCUGAGUCUCUAUUGUCCUAACUCAACCGAGGAUAAUGAUCUUCCAUACAGCUGGCUAUUUAGGUUCCAGGAGACACAGGGCCUCUGGUGUAGUGCUGAGUGGACCGCCAAGGGCUCAAGGAACAAGCCUAUAUUUAUGCAUUCAUGCACGGUUAUUUGCAUUAUUAUUACUAUACUCCUUGUAUUGUUUGUGCUUAUCUCUCUGGCAUCUAAGAUGGUGCCUGGAACACAGUAGCUUGAUAAUUAUGUGCUGAGUGAACAAGUGACCUCAGAACAGGUUUAGCUGCAGGUAGCCAGUAAGGGAGCAGAUCCCCAGAACCCCUGAGGUAGGCUUGACUCACCCCUACUUGUCUAAGCCAUCCUGAUGACCCUCAUGAUAAAUAAACAAGAUAAUCGGGAAUGUA